rnacentral:rRNA from 1 species
CAAUAGCGUAUAUUUAAGUUGUUGCAGUUAAAAAGCUCGUAGUUGGAUUUCUGCUGAUCGCUGUCGGUCUGCCGUCAGGUGUGUACUGGCAGUGUUUGGCAUCUAUUCGAGAUUGGGUGUCCACUUGAUUGUGUGUACUCGAUGUCGGAGCUAAUACUUUGAGAAAAUUAGAGUGUUCCACGCAGGCGCGUGCCUUGAAUACUGCAGCAUGGGAUAUUGGAAGGCCGAUUGAGCUUUCUUGUUGGUUCUCGGUUUGAUCGGAAUGAUUAAUAGGGAUAGUUGGGGGCAUUCGUAUUCAACUGUCAGAGGUGAAAUUCUUGGAUUUGUUGAAGACGGACUACUGCGAAAGCAUCUGCCAUGGAUGUUCUCAUUGA